rnacentral:rRNA from 1 species
AUUGAACGCUGGCGGCAGGCUUAACACAUGCAAGUCGAGCGGGGUGAUGGUGCUUGCACUAUCACUUAGCGGCGGACGGGUGAGUAAUGCUUAGGAAUCUGCCUAUUAGUGGGGGACAACAUCUCGAAAGGGAUGCUAAUACCGCAUACGUCCUACGGGAGAAAGCAGGGGAUCACUUGUGACCUUGCGCUAAUAGAUGAGCCUAAGUCGGAUUAGCUAGUUGGUGGGGUAAAGGCCUACCAAGGCGACGAUCUGUAGCGGGUCUGAGAGGAUUAUCCGCCACACUGGGACUGAGACACGGCCCAGACUCCUACGGGAGGCAGCAGUGGGGAAUACUGGACAAUGGGGGGAACCCUGAUCCAGCCAUGCCGCGUGUGUGAAGAAGGCCUUAUGGUUGUAAAGCACUUUAAGCGAGGAGGAGGCUCUUUUGGUUAAUACCCAAGAUGAGUGGACGUUACUCGCAGAAUAAGCACCGGCUAACUCUGUACCAGCCGCCGCCGUAA